rnacentral:rRNA from 1 species
AUUAAACGCUGGCGGCAGGCCUAACACAUGCAAGUCGAGCGGUAACACAGGGAGCUUGCUCCCGGGUGACGAGCGGCGGACGGGUGAGUAAUGUCUGGGAAACUGCCUGAUGGAGGGGGAUAACUACUGGAAACGGUAGCUAAUACCGCAUAAUGCCGCAAGACCAAAGAGGGGGACCUUCGGGCCUCUUGCCAUCAGAUGUGCCCAGAUGGGAUUAGCUAGUAGGUGGGGUAACGGCUCACCUAGGCGACGAUCCCUAGCUGGUCUGAGAGGAUGAGCAGCAACGCUGGAGCUGCGACGGCGUCCAGACUCCUAGGGGAGGCAGCAGUGGGGAAUAUUGCACAAUGGGCGCAAGCCUGAUGCAGCCAUGCCGCGUGUAUGAAGAAGGCCUUCGGGUUGUAAAGUACUUUCAGCGGGGAGGAAGGUGUUGAGGUUAAUAACCUCAGCAAUUGACGUUACCCGCAGAAGAAGCACCGGCUAACUCCGUGCCAGCCGCCGCCGUAACAC